CCUACGGAAGGCAGCAGUGGGGAAUUUUGGACAAUGGGCGAAAGCCUGAUCCAGCCAUUCCGCGUGCAGGAUGAAGGCCCUCGGGUUGUAAACUGCUUUUGUACAGAACGAAAAGGUUUCUAUUAAUACUAGGAGCUCAUGACGGUACUGUAAGAAUAAGCACCGGCUAACUACGUGCCAGCAGCCGCGGUAAUACGUAGGGUGCAAGCGUUAAUCGGAAUUACUGGGCGUAAAGCGUGCGCAGGCGGUUAUAUAAGUCAGAUGUGAAAUCCCCGGGCUCAACCUGGGAACUGCAUUUGAGACUGUAUAGCUAGAGUACGGUAGAGGGGGAUGGAAUUCCGCGUGUAGCAGUGAAAUGCGUAGAUAUGCGGAGGAACACCGAUGGCGAAGGCAAUCCCCUGGACCUGUACUGACGCUCAUGCACGAAAGCGUGGGGAGCAAACAGGAUUAGAUACCCUGGUAGUCCACGCCCUAAACGAUGUCAACUGGUUGCUGGGUCUUAACUGACUCAGUAACGAAGCUAACGCGUGAAGUUGACCGCCUGGGGAGUACGCGCAGUUGAACGUCAGAAUUG
rnacentral:rRNA from 1 species